rnacentral:rRNA from 1 species
UACAGAGGGUGCGAGCGUUAAUCGGAGUUACUGGGCGUAAAAGGGCGCGUAGGCGGUUAUAUAAGUGAGAUGUGAAAUCCCUGGGCUUAACCUAGGAACUGCAUCUCAUACUGUAUGACUGGAGUAUUGUAGAGGGUAGUGGAAUUUCCGGUGUAGCGGUGAAAUGCGUAGAGAUCGGAAGGAACACCAGUGGCGAAGGCGGCUACCUGGACAAAUACUGACGCUGAGGCGCGAGAGCGUGGGGAGCAAACAGG